ensembl:snoRNA
UGGAUUGAUGAUGACUACUGGUGGCGUAUGAGUCAUGUACGAUGAAUACGUGUCUGGAACUCUGAGGUCCGA